GAGAGGUGGUCCUAAUACUCAUAUCCGUUUAUCGUAUCUCCUAUAAAUAUGUUCUAAGCAGAAAAAAACCUAGACAGCCAGCCGCAAAGGCCGCUCUUGACGGAAUUUCUACUCGCUUGCGCCCUAGGGCAUCCAGUUGCCUUGGCUCUGCAGCCGCCACCCGCCGCGCGUACGCGUCUGCUCAUCCAUUGAGCCCGCGUGCUCCCCAUAUUUAUGCGCAUUCUUCUUUGCCUCGCCCUCUGUUCUCUCGGCACCGUCCCUAGACAGCUCCACGAGUCCUUCCGGCGCCGCCUGCAGCGAAUCCCAGCAGCUGCGCCAAGUCUCUUACAUCGCCUUGCCUUCGGACCGCGCUAAUCCUCUCGCUUCUUCUGCUCGCGUGCUUCGUCCACAGCCUGUCUUACAGCGCCCUAGCUGCUGCCGGCCAUGAUGUUUUCCUGCAGCAGACGCCUGUGCCUUGUGUCAUCAAUGCCCUGCUUUGUCUCCACGCACACGCAUUUUCCAGCAAUCUCUAACCAUUUCACGGGAAUCCGGUUGCCGCUGCUCCGCUUAUGUGCGCACGCUACUCCGAUCUUUUCUGCUGCUCUGCACACCGCAGAUGUUUAUUGCAGGAUAUAAACUUUUUUAUAUUUUAUCUCAAUCCUAAACUGACUUUUGAGUUGUGGUAAGAUGACUCUAGUAGUGGUGUAAAUUGCUUGGUUAUCUUGAUACAAUUAGCUCAGAAUUUGGAAAUUUAUUUUUGAUUUUAUUUGCCAAAUAGGUUUUCCCUUGGGUCUUUUAGCAUCAUCUGAUAUUCACUCCAAGAUUGGUUCAAUCCUAGGCUAUGCAUUUUUUUCUUCCACAUUGAUUUAAGGAUAGAGUCUGUUCUCAUUGUUCAUAAUUUCAUCACACGUCAACAAAAUUUGAAUGCUGAUAUUUAAAAAAAUUAUAAAGACAUUUUUUAGCCAUUUUAAAACUAUUUAAUUUGGUUAGCUUUUAAAUUUUUUGAUAAAUUAAUGGUGAAAGAUGUUGAAAUAAAAUGAAAUUUCUUCUUCUAAAAAGCUACUUGUCUAUCUUUAUGCUCAUUUGUCCAAAUUCCUCAUACUUUGAUGAUUCAACCAUCUUAAAUUUAAGUCUGAUUUGGCAUCUAACUAAACAACCCCUAAAUUUGAAUUUAUCACAUCGGGAUCACAAUUCAUAUGGAGCAACAAAUUCUCAUGAAACAUCAACGGAUGGAUCAAGUUUGGGCAAGCUCUGAUUCCGUGACUAAACUUAGUACAUUCUUAUCGACCUUGCAGACAAGGAUUAAGGGGCAUUGGGCCGGUAUGAAUAUCUGUUCUUCCGCCUCUACAUUUUCAAAGAUAUUGUUGAAUAUGCUUAAUUAGUUCAUGUUAAUUUAUAAUUCAAAUUGAAAGAAGUAAAACUGAAUUAGAAUAAUUUUUUUAGUUGAAUAAACUUUGUUACUAACUAAAGAACAUCUUUGAUUGCUCUAAGCCUGUUACAUAACAAUUUCCUCAUGUCCAGAAGAAACAACCAUUUUUUACUAAACAUGUCUUUUUAAUCCAAUGAACUUUCAGAUGGGCCCAAAACAAUUCAUGAGGUCCCCUCAAUGGAAUUUAAUUUUGUGAUCUUCUAUUGCCAAUCCUGGUUGGAUUUCAUUUAUUAUUUUAGCGUUCACACUUUGUGUUGGUAUGAUAUAUGUAGUUUGUUUUUCUCUAGAUUUAUUCUUGAAAUAAUGCUUGUAUGAAAGGUAGAAAAUGAUGAAUUUAAAUGGGUCAUUGUAUAUGAGAUGGAUGUGAUGAAGAUGUCAUCUUUUGCAUUGAUCACCGGAUGAAAAUUCGGUGGCAUGAAAAUCUUUCUAAUGGUUCGUAUUCGCUGAGCACCCAUCUCUAUUGCUAUGAUUUUUUGUUUUUGUUUUUGGUUUCACCAUAUGCGAAGGUCCUAUAGAGGAAUCAUUUUAUAUUUCAGUGUGAUAUCAUCUAAGUUUGCCUUCGAAUAGUAAGUGAAUUCAUAAAUUUUGAUUUUGAGUUUUAUUUGGUAGAUCAAAUCUUAUCAGACAUGGAUUUCAAACAAAUUUUGAAGGUUGUAGUCAGUUAUUUGUGGACUUUUUUAUCCAGUAUUUGGCCGAGUUUACUUUAGAAUAUAGGAUUUCACAAUCCUCUUUAGUUUGAACUUUCUAUUUAUUAGUAAAUUUGUGCUUGUAGGAUUUUUUUGGUGGGCAAACGAUGAAUCUUGACGUUAAAUGGGUAAUUUGCAUCUGAGGUUUUAAUUUCCAUUGAUGCUACCACUUUGGAAUUCUGAUGCCUUUUUUAUUUCGAUUUUUCCUUGGGGUAUUUUGUGUAUAUUUCGGCUAGCUCGAUGCGGAAUGGAGUGAGGUGAUGAGCAGUAAAUUAUUUCCUUAUUGGUUUGAUGACCAAUAUGAUGGCUACAAUUUUAUUAGCUCUAUCUGAUCGCUCUCCUCCAUUGAAUAAAGGGGGAUGUUGAAGGUAUUCGUGCUGAUGGUGCUAAUAACUUGUCUUUAAUUGCUGCUUGUGAUCAUCAGGUUGUGGUAUCUCCUGUUGUUGUUGAGAAGACUACUUUGAAAUGUGAACUUAAUCAUGAGAUCUUGGAUGUUGUAAAUGUGGAUUUUUGUGACCUUAAUAAGGUUGAUUUGAAUGAUUCUUCUAGCAAAUUGGUGAUUGUUUUAGGUGUUUAUCAUUUGGAUGAAAUGACUAUCACCUAAUGUUGUCAA